ensembl:lncRNA
CCAGGGCCUGCGGUUUGGACAGCUGCGGCCAAGCUGGCUGCCUGGCUUGUGGAAAACAUCCGCCACACAUGGAGGACUGCGCUGAUCCUUCUUGGCUUCUGCUGGAUGACUGGGUGACUGGUUGCCGGUUUCCCAAUCCCAUGAACACAUUAUUUGAACCUACCACCAAUACUUAUGUCCCUGUGCCCCAUCCAAGUCUAAGAAAAUAAUGAGCAUAAUUUUGAGGGCACUGUUUAGGUUUAAGCUGAGUGAAGCAGGAAAGCUGUGGAAAAACAGGAGAAAGACGUCCUGUGAAAUAAAGUGGCUUUUCUGUUGCGGUUACAUGGUUUGGACCUCACGCCACCAGUGGCGCUACCAAGACCCAAUAUCCUUUAGUUGACCUACAGUGGAAGAGGGCUGAUCACAUUUGCAGGAUACUUUUUUUUUCCAGGUUCACAGUAAAAUCUGCUCUGGUCUGUAUCACUCAGUAUACAAAAAAAAAAAAUUUUUGACUAGUUCCAGCACCAAAGUAGUUCCUAAAGGAGUAGGUUUAUUACCAGUACAACAUUCUUAAAUUCACCUAAUUCCUGUUAACCUUCUUGAUGGAUUCUUCUGUUUUUUUCUGUGAAGUACUUCAACUUUAUUUCAUACGUUGCUCUCUACCACUGAUGGCAUUGUUUCUAAUAGAAUUAGUUCACCCGACUGGCUACAAGACUACAAGUCCUGUUAAGAUGAAUAUUUUUGCAGUGCAGGCCUAAUCCCCUGCAGCAUGGCUCCAAUUUAAGGCCUCCCCACAGACAUAGCGUGGUACAUAAACAGGCCCAGGUUACUGCCUCUCCCCAACAAGCACACACACACACACACACACACACACACACAUAGCCGGCACAUAUGAGACUGAUUUUGCUCAAGAUCUGGACGCUGGCCACUGCUCGGAGCUUUUUUCCAUUUUAUGCGUGCACUUGAGUAUCACACACACACACACACACACACACACACACUGCUUACUGUUCUACAUGGGCGUAUGAACAAGGUGUGUGUCUAUGUCUGCAUUGGCCCAUACACAAACACGCACACAUAGACACACUCACUCACACACAGUUGGUUUUCUUUUCUAACUCCCUCUCUGAUUGUGUUGCGGGCGACAGUCUCUUUGUUGCGCACACAAACAGAGUCAGAGUCUUUCCUCCAGUUUCCUCACCUUCCCUGCUUCACAGAGGGAUGAAAAAUCAAGUGUGAUGAAUAGAGGGAAUGGUGUAAGAUGGAGGAUUACACCCCUGGCUGGAAUUUUGAAGGGAGUAGCUUUACUGUAAAGACAGAAAAAUGCAAUCUUGAUGGUGUUGCUGACAACUUGCAUCACAUUUCCGCUCUGUUUGAGACGGGAUUAUAUGAGGGAACCAGUGUUGGCAUGGCACUUGCAGCCUGACCUAAGAAUCUGAGGAUUCUACUCUGUUUGUGGUUGAAUUCAGCCACAGUCAACACACUUUUCCCAGUCUCUCAAAUAACCACUCUAGUCUAAUCUGGUGGGCCACGAAAUGUCUCACACCGCGCAGCGAGAACGCUUUGCCUAAAGGGAAUUUCUGAAUUUCCGACUUAAAUUGUUCACAGUUUCUGUGAAGUGAGGAAAAUGGAAAACAGAAAAUACAGAUAUUUUAUAUAUUGUUGGAGCUGCCGAUCAUUCUAAAUAGAUUCCAAAGGCCGCUUUGUAAGAGUGUUUAUAAUUCUGAUUCAAGAACUCAUCUGGAUCCAAACAUUGCAUUGAAGGUGUCCGGUAUGGAAGCAAAGAGGACAAAACUAUUAAAAACAAAAACCUUCACAUUAACUUUUACACUCAACAAUUCACACACAUGCACUCACACACAAACACUCAAUUCUCUACCAUCCUUUUGCCCUCCUCCUCCUCCUCCUCCUCCUCACUACUUCCA